rnacentral:misc_RNA from 1 species
GAUGAAGAACGUAGCGAAAUGCGAUAAGUAAUGUGAAUUGCAGAAUUCAGUGAAUCAUCGAAUCUUUGAACGCACAUUGCGCCCGCCAGUAUUCUGGCGGGCAUGCCUGUCUGAGCGUCAUUUCAACCCUCAUGCCCCUAGGGCGUGGUGUUGGGGAUCGGCCAAAGCCCGCGAGGGACGGCCGGCCCCUAAAUCUAGUGGCGGACCCGUCGUGGCCACCUCUGCGAAGUAGUGAUAUUCCGCAUCGGAGAGCGAUGAGCCCCUGCCGUUAAACCCCCAACUUUCCAAGGUUGACCUCAGAUCAGGUAGGAAUACCCGCUGAACUUAAGCAUAUCAAUAAGCGGAGAA